CAUUGCCAUCGUAACAGCCAAGUGCUGAGUUUAAGCUCUGAUCCGUGAAGUCAAAAGCAUCAGUUAACAAGAUGGCAUCCUUCCUGUGAGAGAAAACAAGAGUUUGUACUGUGGGAUCAUACCAAUGGUUUUACAAACUGCUUCUUUUUUUCCUCUUAAUGCUAAAAGGACUCAUGAUCCUGACAAAGAAGAAGAGAAACAAAAUACAACAGUUGGGCCCAAACGUGGAACGAACACUCUGCUUUUGUGACUCGGGAACUCCGAGAGGGCCCACAUGGCACUCUGCAGAAGCAUCAGGAAGCACACAGAAUAAUUUGGGCCAUCUGUUUUCUCCUGGAAACAAGCGGUGGGCUGGAUUCUCUGAGGAAUUCUCAUGGCAUGUUUGGACCAGAACAGUCUGCUCAGAAAAGAGAGAAGGUCCCUGCCUGGGGCUCUGAGGUGUUGGAGGUGGGACCAGGCUACCUCCCCAAGCAGUGAAGCCUGGCUGCUGGGAAGAAGGCAGAACCCAGAACAUUGCUGCUGUCCUGCAGCCAGGGAUCGCUGCGUAGAGCCCAGCUGUGGCCCUACCUGCCCAGCAUCCACAUCCCAGUCCUCUGGCUCUCUUGGGAAAACUGUCCUGUACUCUCAGACCAGGUAGUUCUUGGGACUCACCUCAGUCUCCCAGGUCUGGACAAAUAGAGCAUACUGUGCCCCUGGUCACAGUGAUUGAGCCUGGUAUGGUCAUGUGACCCAGGCCAGCCAAUGAAACUCAGUCUUGGGCCUUUUGCAGGGAUAAUUUGGGUGGGAGAAAGCUGUCUUCCCAGUGGGGUGCCAGCCUGGGCUAAUAUGCCAGCCAACCAGUGGCCUCCCUCCUUUACAUGAAGCAGCCCAUUCUCGUGUCCCAAAAACUGAAUCUAACAGAGGAGAACAGAACUAAAGAUGGUAUGAAAGGGACCCUUGAUGAUGUGGUUUGAACCCCUGGAUCCAGCUGGUCCUGAAGCCCACUGUCUCUGGCCUUUUGUAUAUAUGAACCACUAAGUUCCGUGUUUUGCCUGAGUUGGAGUUUGGUUCAGAAACCU